ACUGGCCUUAAUAAUUUUUUUGUUUUACUAAUAAUUUUCAGGAGCCCAUAAAUUCAAAUUUCGGAUCGUUACAAAACCUCAGCGCUAUAAAACAAAAACAAAUAAACCCCAGGUCCAGAGUCCAGCUUCGGUGGCUUGUACCUUACGCUAUGGAUGUUGUCCUUUGUUCUUCGUUUAUAUUUUUUCCGCUUUCUUGAAAUAAAAUUUAUUUUGCUUUGAAUGCUACAGUGAAGCUGAUCAUCGCCGUUGUCAACUCAACCUCGCGGUUCCAGGAUUUCUAGGGUCUAAAGCGAAAAUCAGUUUCAGAUUGCCGGUGCAAAUGACGGCGGCGUUUAGUUCUGUUCGGUUCAGGUGAAGUUAGAGCGGCAUUUUAGAGAGAGAGAAAGAGAGGGAGUGAGUUUUAGAACGAGAGAUAGAUGGAAGAGGAGAUGGAGAUGGAGAUGGAGAUAGAGAUAGAGCCAGUGUUCGAGGUUAGAGAGGUCGAUCUUGAAUACGAGUUCGAUGCGGCUCGGUUCUUUGAUUUCACGCGCGAGGAGUCGCCUGCGGAGGCCAGAGAAGCUGAACUCUGGUUUGAGUCGGCGCCGAGUUAUCCUCCCUCUCCUUUUGUGGCGAAGUUAGUUUUAAGGGACGAGAGUCUCCUGGAAAAUGUGAGUACGUCUCCAAAAUGUAAAGAAGUGGAAGACACUAGUACAUUACUUGAAAAUGAUUCCGGUAAUGUUAUGGCGUUGGAAUUUUCAGCUAUGGGUCCCAAUAACAGAGGCAUUGAAGGAACUAACAAAGGGAUUUUCACCGAUAUUCAGAAAGUUUUACAGAAGGCUUUGAAUCAACCAUUUCAAUUAACUGCAGGCUUUACAACAUACAAUUACACGUCCAGUGAUAAAUUAAAAGAUAAAUCUAAGAGCGUGAAAUCCGUGAUUCCGCGGAGCUCAACUCUUAUGAAACCUACUGCCAGUCAGUUGGCGAAACAAAAUCGGCCCCCUCAAGUGGCUGCAUCUAGAUUCGAGAAGCAACAGCUGCUUAACAGUGACAGAAGCCUAGGUAAUUCUUCUGUGGUUGAAAGUCAAGCUGCCAAGAGGCAGAAGCUAGAGGGAGGUCUCUCGCGAAAGGUUGCUGAUGUGAAGCAGCAAACUAAUUUGAUUCAUAAGGCACCUAAAAAGGAGGGAACUGUAGAUAGAAACUCCAUCCAUACCAGGCUGAAGCUUACCAUUCCAAAGGAACCUGAGCUUGAAACAGCGCACAGGGCUCAAAGAAUACGGCCUAAGAACAGUACAGAACAAGAGCAUGUUACAUCUGUCACACAUAGAUUCAAAGCACGCCCAUUGAAUAGAAAAAUUCUCGAGGCCCCUUCAUUGCCCCUUCCAAAGAAGAGCAUUCCAAAGUUGCCACAGUUUCAAGAAUUUCGCCUGAAGACAUCGGAAAGGGCUGUGCAACUCUCAUCAGCUGUACCAUCCUCAUGCCAGAGCAAUGAUGCUGACAAGGGGUCUGAGAAAUCUGGUAUAAUUUCUGCUACCGGCAAUGGAACUGGAGAACCCAGAAGAGCAAGUGCCAUGGUUGCCACUGGGCAGGAUGUGUGUGACAUAAAGUACAACUUCAAAGCUCGUCCUUUGAAUAAGAAGAUUUUUUCCCAUAAGGGGGAUAUUGGUGUUUUCCGAAAUAUCAAGAGGGAAACCACAGUGCCAAUGGAGUUUAAUUUCCAUGCGGAGAAGAGGGUUCAGCAAACUCCACCUGUAGAACUUUUUAGUAAGCUGUCUCUGACAUCUGAACUACAACCAAGCAAUGGAUCUCAGAUCAAGUUGCCUCGUCCUACCUUUACAUCGACCCAGAAAAUAGAUGGACUUCUUUCCAACCAGAACAUGAGAUGAGGCAUUUGACAAAGGAGAAACCUCAUCUGUUUGGCGGAAAGAACAUUCAGUGUGGGAACGAUGGUUGCAUCACUGAGGUUGGUAAUCAAUUAAGCACGAGGAGCUUGGGCAUUCGCUGAAAGUGAAAGCAGCAGUCCCAGAUGGUUUACCUCGUGGCAAUCCAACUCAAGAUUCUGCUGUUGUUCUGGAAUUUUGACGGAUCAACACUCAACAAUUGCACAAAUUUCAUCAACAAACGUAGGUUUUUGCUGUAUAUGGAAUCUGUGGAUAUCCACUUUACUAAGAAUCAAUGUUUACCUCCAAAGAAACUGACAUGUUAAAUGAACUUCGUGCUCCCAUACUUUUGGGUAACAAGUCCAUAAUACAAUAAAAAUGUUACACAUGUU